rnacentral:Y_RNA from 1 species
GGCUGGUCCGAGUGCAGUGAUGUUUACAACUAAUUGGUCCCUGUCAGCUACAGAUGUAUUUGUUCCGUCUCCAUUCCCACUGCUUCACUUGACUAGCCUUCA